rnacentral:rRNA from 1 species
UACGUAGGGUGCAAGCGUUAAUCGGAAUUACUGGGCGUAAAGCGCACGUAGGCGGCUUUGUAAGUCAGAGGUGAAAGCCCGGAGCUUAACUCCGGAAUUGCCUUUGAGACUGCAUCGCUUGAAUCCAGGAGAGGUGAGUGGAAUUCCGAGUGUAGAGGUGAAAUUCGUAGAUAUUCGGAAGAACACCAGUGGCGAAGGCGGCUCACUGGACUGGUAUUGACGCUGAGGUGCGAAAGCGUGGGGAGCAAACAGG